rnacentral:rRNA from 1 species
UGGGGAGUAUUGCACAAUGGGGAAGACCCUGAUGCAGCGACGCCGCGUGUGGGAAGACGGUCCUCUGGAUUGUAAACCACUGUCCCCAGGGACGAAUCUGACGGUACCUGGGGAGGAAGCUCCGGCUAACUACGUGCCAGCAGCCGCGGUAAUACGUAGGGAGCGAGCGUUGUCCGGAAUUACUGGGUGUAAAGGGAGCGUAGGCGGGAUGGCAAGUUGGGUGUUAAAUCUACCGGCUCAACUGGUAGUCGCACUCAAAACUGCCGUUCUUGAGUGAAGUAGAGGCAGGCGGAAUUCCUAGUGUAGCGGUGAAAUGCGUAGAUAUUAGGAGGAACACCAGUGGCGAAGGCGGCCUGCCGGGCUUUUACUGACGCUGAGGCUCGAAAGUGUGGGGAGCAAACAGGAUUAGAUACCC